rnacentral:rRNA from 1 species
GACGAACGCUGGCGGCGUGCCUAAUACAUGCAAGUCGAACGCAGUGGGGACGGGUGAGUAACACGUGGGUAACCUCCCAUCAGAGGGGAUAACACUUGGAAACAGGUGCUAAACCGAUAUUGACGGAUGGACCCGCGGUGCAUUAGCUAGUUGGGGAGGUAACGGCUCACCAAGGCCACGAUGCAUAGCCGAGCAGUGAGGGUGGUCGGCAACGCUGGGACUGAGACACGGCCCAGACUCCUACGGGAGGCAGGAGUAGGGAAUCUUCGGCAAUGGACGAAAGUCUGACCGAGCAACGCCGCGUGAGUGAAGAAAGUUGUCGGAACGUAAAACGCUGUUGUUAGAGAAGCGGUAUCUAACCAGAAAGCCACGGCUAACUACGUGCCAGCAGCCGCGGUAAUUC